rnacentral:lncRNA from 1 species
AAAGCACAAACUCAAAGUAAAUGAGUUAGCAUCCUACAAUACAAACCAAGUUAGUUCAUGAUAAUCAAAUAAACCAAAAUCAAUCAACUUGAAUUAAACUCUUCAAAGCAUUUUGCUUCUUUAACCUGAAAAAACAACUCAAAUGUGAGAAGUAAGACCACUAGGACAAGCCUAGGGUCAAAAGGAGGGGAAAAAUUCAAAACAGCAAGAAAAAAUUAAUCAAAA